rnacentral:rRNA from 1 species
AGACUUUGAUCCUGGCUCAGGAUGAACGCUAGCGGCAGGCUUAAUACAUGCAAGUCGAGGGGCAGCAUGGGUAGCAAUACCUGAUGGCGACCGGCAAACGGGUGAGGAACACGUACGCAACUUCCCUAAAACUGGUGAAUAGCCCUCCGAAAGGAGGAUUAAUACACCGUAAGAUAACGAGAUGGCAUCAUUUUGUUAUUAUAGCUCCGGCGGUUUUAUGAUGGGCGUGCGCCUGAUUAGGUAGUUGGUAAGGUAACGGCUUACCAAGCCUACGAUCAGUAACUGGUGUGAGAGCACGACCAGUCACACGGGCACUGAGACACGGGCCCGACUCCUACGGGAGGCAGCAGUAAGGAAUAUUGGUCAAUGGACGAAAGUCUGAACCAGCCAUGCCGCGUGAAGGAUGAAGGUCCUCUGGAUUGUAAACUUCUUUUAUCUGGGACGAAAAAAGGCCAUUCUUGGCCACUUGACGGUACCAGAGGAAUAAGCACCGGCUAACUCCGUGCCAGCAGCCGCGGUAAUACGGAGGGUGCAAGCGUUAUCCGGAUUCACUGGGUUUAAAGGGUGCGUAGGUGGAUUGGUGAGUCCGUGGUGAAAUCUCCGAGCUUAACUCGGAAACUGCCGUGGAUACUAUCAGUCUUGAAUUUCCUGGAGGUAAGCGGAAUAUGUCAUGUAGCGGUGAAA